AGUGAACGCUGGCGGCAGGCCUAACACAUGCGAGUCGAACGGCAGCACAGUAAGAGCUUGCUCUUACGGGUGGCGAGUGGCGGACGGGUGAGGAAUACAUCGGAAUCUACUUUUUCGUGGGGGAUAACGUAGGGAAACUUACGCUAAUACCGCAUACGACCUACGGGUGAAAGCAGGGGAUCUUCGGACCUUGCGCGAUUGAAUGAGCCGAUGUCGGAUUAGCUAGUUGGCGGGGUAAAGGCCCACCAAGGCGACGAUCCGUAGCUGGUCUGAGAGGAUGAUCAGCCACACUGGAACUGAGACACGGUCCAGACUCCUACGGGAGGCAGCAGUGGGGAAUAUUGGACAAUGGGCGCAAGCCUGAUCCAGCCAUACCGCGUGGGUGAAGAAGGCCUUCGGGUUGUAAAGCCCUUUUGUUGGGAAAGAAAAGCAGCAGGUUAAUACCCCGCUGUUCUGACGGUACCCAAAGAAUAAGCACCGGCUAACUUCGUG
rnacentral:rRNA from 1 species